UGCAUAUCAAUAAGCGGAGGAAAAGCCGUCUUGAAACACGGACCAUGCAUAUCAAUAAGCGGAGGAAAAGAAACCAACAGGGAUUGCCUCAGUAGCGGCGAGUGAAGCGGCAAGAGCUCAGAUUUGAAAUCGUGCUUUGCGGCACGAGUUGUAGAUUGCAGGUUGGAGUCUGUGUGGAAGGCGGUGUCCAAGUCCCUUGGAACAUGGCGCCCAGGAGGGUGAGAGCCCCGUGGGAUGCCGGCGGAAGCAGUGGGGCCCUUCUGACGAGUCGAGUUGUUUGGGAAUA
rnacentral:rRNA from 1 species